rnacentral:lncRNA from 1 species
UUUCUAUCUGGAGGUUCCUCCUUCUGUUGUACUUGUUGAGCCCUGAUCCUUGGGACAGUGGAUGAUGCUUGGAGUCCUUUAGAAGACUUUAACAUGGUUUUGGAAAGGAAGAGCUGGAGGAGAUUCAGCCAUAAAAAGCUGGAUGGAGGCUGAAGAGUGCAACGUGCCUGGGAACUGUGAGACAGGAUCAGCAGCCAGCUUUGAUCAGGGAAGAUGAAUUUGAGAGCAGAUUCUUUCAUAGCAACUCAGAACAGGGAUUUGGCACCUCCCGAUGAAUUGGGGGAGACGGACUUUUGCUGUGACCCAUUCCAUGAUCACAGUUCACUUGUGAUCCUUUGUAUUGAGUUAUGCUGCAUGUUGGCAGCAGUUCUUGUCCUUAAAAGAACACAACCAAAAUAAAGAUCAGUUGCCUUGCCUUUUUAACUGUAACUAAUUGCUAAUGUUGUUACAGUGGAAAGAAUACUUUAAAACUGAGUUGGACCUUUGUAUUUUAAUUGACUGACUUUUGUGUUUCACCUGGCUUGCUCAGAAAUCAGAAUUGACUUUGCUUACUUUUUCUGUUCAGAAUCACUUUCUGGCUGUUUGCCCAGACCAGAAGAGCCCCAGGCUCUUCAAUACUGAAUGCAGACUGAAAGUGGGGCCAAACUAUUCUCUAAAAUGCUCUGCUUUGAAUAAAGAGAUGGCUGUAAUUGACUGAAGUUUUCUUUUACUCUUCCAUAAACUGGAAAAUGUAACCCCAUGUCACUGGAGAAUCGUGAAUUUUUGUCAGUGGGCAGUUUUGUUAAUGGUGAGUCAUGAUUUAAAAAAAAAAAAGGGGAAAUUAAGAAUUCUUGUUAGUAUUUUGAAAACAAAUGCCCAUCUGAACAUUUUGGUUCUGCAAAGUUGUAUAUGUGCCUGCCAUGCUGGGUCUCAAGGUUGAAGUGGCUUUUCCAGCUGAGCACCCUUCCCAUGCACAGUACAUUAGAAUCACAGAAUUAAUACAGCUGGGAGAGACCUCUAAGAUUACCAAGUCCAACCUCACCCCCCAGCAUGCCCACUAAAAUGUCCACCUGAGCCACAUUUCUUGAACACCUCCAGGGACAGUCACUCCAUCACUUCCAUGAGCAGCCUGUGCCAAUGCCUCAGCACUCAGAAGAAAUUUUUCCCCGUGUUCAACCUGAAAAGCAUUUCUUUGAUGAAUCAUGCUGGUUGUACUUGUCUUUUUCCUGUUAAAUGAAGAGAGAGUGCUUUGGCUCAGAGCUCAUUCAGGAAAGAAAGAAGUGUUUGAUCAUGUUUGU